UACGGUCGCAUCACGUUGAAACACCGGUUUCUACAAGAUCAGCAAGGUUAAGAAACGUUGAGCCUGAUCAGUACCUAGAUGGGUAACCUCUUGAGAAUACCAGGUGUUGCGAG